rnacentral:rRNA from 1 species
AUUGAACGCUGGCGGCAGGCCUAACACAUGCAAGUCGAACGAGAGGCGGACGGGUGAGUAAUGUCUGGGAAACUGUCCGAUGGUGGGGGAUAAAUACUGGAAACGGUAUCUAAUACCGCAUACCAUCGGAUGUGCCCAGAUGUGAUUGGCUGGUGGGUGUGGUAACGGCUCACCUAGGCGACGAUCCCUAGCGGGUCUGAGAGGAUGACCAGCAACACUGGAACUGAGAAACGGUCCAGACUCCUACGGGAGGCAGCAGUGGGGAAUAUUGCACAAUGGGCGCAAGCCUGAUGCAGCAAUGCCGCGUGUAUGAAGAAGGCCUUCGGGUUGUAAAGUACUUUCAGCGGGGAGGCGUUACCCGCAGAAGAAGCACCGGCUAACUCCGUGCCAGCAGCCGCGGUAAUAC